UCCCAUUCAUUGCGUUACUCACAUUAUUCCCCUUCAUUGAAAUACCCGGCGGAGAGAGAAAGAAAGAGAAUUUAUUCUUUUUUCCAUUCACAACCCUGUGAAUCCACCACCACAUGCAGAAAUCGUCGAAUCUCCGGCGAUCUCCGGUGGAUACACUCCGAUUUUCAUCCUUCCCAUAAAUCAAAUCUAACUUACCUUAUGAUAUUGUUUGAGAAGCUAAGUUUUUCUUCUUAUCUUAGCCGCUUCAUUGCCGGCAUCCUUCUUUUGAUUUUCUGUAAUUCGUUUCAGUUGGUUUCCAAUUUCCCUAAUCCUAUACACCCUUUUUGA